CAGGUACUCGGACUUCCGGGACCGUGGUGGGAACUUGACUACUUUCUACUGGCGUUUGUUGGCUCUGCGACUAGGUUUUGUUAUUCUGUUUGAGCAUCUUGUGUUCGCCGUGUGUCGCCUCAUCGACAUGCUGGUCCCGGACAUCCCCGUGGCCCUAGAACUGAAAAUCAAGCGGGAGAGGUAUCUGGCCAAACAGGCGCUCGCCGACUCGGACACCAUCAUGAAGGUGGCACAGAGACGAGACGAGGACGAUGAUGAGGAGGAGGACAGCCCAAACCGAGGUGCUUCAGAACUUCCUUUCAGCCAGCACGACGAAUCAGCCAGAACGUGAAUUCUUCCUUCGCCCAUCUUUCUCCAAAUUGAACUUCAGCCUGGCGGAUCUUCCCAUCCCCGAGAAUCAGAAGUGGAACGGGGGACGUCCCCUGUGGACAGGGGUCUUCGAUGAUUCCUCGCCUUCGAGAUAGUUUGCCCUUCCUGAGUCUGAAUUUAAUCUUCCUUGUGAAGCUGAUCGUUUCCCUUCUUUUUUGGGGUGAACAGCAAGUUCUGAACUUGUUCUUUUCACGCCAAGAAGAAAACUAAAUCCC